AGGCCAUCGGCAACGGAGGCUUAUGAUGAGUCCUUAUGAUGAGGAGUAAUUCUUAGCAAAUAUGAAUGAAUAGAAUAAUAAUAUAAAACAUAAACAAGCUAAGAAGUUAAGGAUUAAAAUGAAUUGAUCCUUGUUGACGUGGCAUACUCACUUUGUUAGCAUCGUUCCCUGCUUCUUCAUUCAUUUGGGUGGGAGAAUAGGAGUCAUCAACAAGUCUGUCGAAGAAAUCUCCUCGUCGUCGGGUUUGAUGAAGCCAUAGCAAUUUGAAAAUUGAGAGAUCCAAAUCCCUAAAACCAAAAACCCCAAACACAAAAUCUCCGCGACGGAUCUGCAAGUGCCUGGGACAACCGUGGAGGAGAUUGCUGGUGGCUGGGUUAACCGAGAUCUCUGCUAUUUAUUUAUGAGUCUGUGGAUGAACCUGAGGAAGCAUUGAAGCUACUUCACAAGUCAAUGAAAUUGCUUGAGGAUAAACCAGGACAGCAGAGAUGGAUUGCUAUGUCGUGUCAAAUUGAAUGGUUAGAGGCACGGAUGGGAGUUGUAAUGUAUUACACGCUGGGGAGGUAUUAAACCAGAUGGGACUGGCAUGCGUUCAGCUUUUUUAAGAUCGAUGAGGCUGGUGAAUUGUUUGAAGAAGCGAGAGGGAUUCUCGAACAAGAACGUGGUCCUUGUGAUCAGGACACUCUCGGUGUUUACAGCAACCUUGCUGCUACAUAUGACGCCAUGGGAAGGAUAGAAGAUGCGAUUGAUAUAUUAGAGCAGGUUCCGGUUCUGAAGCUGAGAGAGGAGAAGCUUGGGACUGCAAAUCUGGAUUUUGAGGACGAGAAGAAGCGUUUGGCCGAGCUUUUGAAGGAAGCGGGGCGGUCACAGACCUGUGUUUUGGAUGUGAUUCUUCUUAGUCAUGGUUUCUCCAUUAUAUGUACAACAUAAACACAUUUGAUCAUAUUGCUAAGGGAUUCAAAUAUAAAAAACACCAUUAUACAUUCUUUUUGAAUUAGA